UCGGCAACGGAUAUCUCGGCUCUCGCAUCGAUGAAGAACGUAGCGAAAUGCGAUACUUGGUGUGAAUUGCAGAAUCCCGUGAACCAUCGAGUUUUUUAACGCAAGUUGCGCCCGAAGCCAUUAGGCCGAGGGCACGCCUGUCCUGGGCGUCACGC
rnacentral:rRNA from 1 species